CGUCGCCGUCGCCGUCGCCCUGCUGUUGGCUGCGCUGCCUGCUCCUGUGAUUUGCCUCUUUUUGGGCUCUCAUUUACACAGAAAUGCUCUAUGGAAUCGCAUUUUUGUGUAGUUUUGCAUCGACGGGGUCCUGUGAAAUAUGCUACGCAAUGAAAUUUUCCUCCUUCUGGAUUCCAUGACAACCAAAACACACAUAUGAGAUGGAUGGAUGGAUGGUCUUUGUUAUUUUGUAAUGGAGAUGCUGUGGGAAAGAGACCCAGAGAAAGAGAGAGAGCGAUAGAGAGAGAAAAUAGGGACGGAAGAGAGAGAGAGCGGGAGAAUGUGUGGCGAAAAAAGAUGCAAGGCAAAAUGUCAAAAACGAAUUGCACACAAAAAUUCCCAGGCGGUAAGGGCAGCAAAGCAGGACUACGCGCUGAGAAUUCACAAUUGGCAAAGGGCGUAACCGAGUACCCGAUCUGGAACAGCCCAAAGAAUGUUUUUUUCAUUUUUGAAGAGUUGGCUGUACGUUUAAGUACGUGAA